CAGUAGCAAUACUGUGGGUGGCGAGUGGCGGACGGGUGAGUAAUGCAUCGGGACCUACCUGAACGUGGGGGAUAACGUAGGGAAACUUACGCUAAUACCGCAUACGUCCUACGGGAGAAAGCGGGGGACCUUCGGGCCUCGCGCGGUCAGACGGACCGAUGUUCGAUUAGCUAGUUGGUAGGGUAAUGGCCUACCAAGGCGACGAUCGAUAGCUGGUCUGAGAGGAUGAUCAGCCACACUGGAACUGAGACACGGUCCAGACUCCUACGGGAGGCAGCAGUGGGGAAUAUUGGACAAUGGGCGCAAGCCUGAUCCAGCAAUGCCGCGUGUGUGAAGAAGGCCUUCGGGUUGUAAAGCACUUUUAUCAGGAGCGAAAUACUGUCGGUUAAUAACCGGCGGGGCUGACGGUACCUGAGGAAUAAGCACCGGCUAACUUCGUGCCAGCAGCCGCGGUAAUACGAAGGGUGCAAGCGUUAAUCGGAAUUACUGGGCGUAAAGGGUGCGUAGGCGGUUAGUUAAGUCUGUUGUGAAAUCCCCGGGCUCAACCUGGGAAUGGCAAUGGAUACUGGCUAGCUAGAGUGUGUCAGAGGAUGGUGGAAUUCCCGGUGUAGCGGUGAAAUGCGUAGAGAUCGGGGGGAACAUCAGUGGCGAAGGCGGCCAUCUGGGACAACACUGACGCUGAAGCACGAAAGCGUGGGGAGCAAACAGGAUUAGACACCCUGGUAGUCCACGCCCUAAACGAUGCGAACUGGAUGUUGGUCUCAACUCGGAGAUCAGUGUCGAAGCUAACGCGUUAAGUUCG
rnacentral:rRNA from 1 species